rnacentral:rRNA from 1 species
CCUACGGGAGGCUGCAGUGAGGAAUAUUGGUCAAUGGACGAGAGUCUGAACCAGCCACGCCGCGUGAAGGAUGACUGCUCUAUGGGUUGUAAACUUCUUUUAUAUGGGAGUAAAACAGGGUAUGCAUACCCUCUUGUAAGUAUCCUAUGAAUAAGGAUCGGCUAACUCCGUGCCAGCAGCCGCGGUAAUACGGAGGAUCCGAGCGUUAUCCGGAUUUAUUGGGUUUAAAGGGUGCGUAGGUGGUUUGAUAAGUUAGUGGUGAAAGGUUGAGGCUCAACCGGAAAAUUGCAGUUGAAACUGGCAGACUUGAGUACAGUAGAGGUAGGCGGAAUGCGUGGUGUAGCGGUGAAAUGCUUAGAGAUCACGAAGAACACCGAUUGCGAAGGCAGCUCACUGGACUGCAACUGACACUGAUGCACGAAAGUGUGGGUAUCAAACAGGAUUAGAUACCCCUGUAGUC